AGGGUUCGAUCUGGCUCAGAACGACGCUGGCGGCGCGUUUAAGCAUGCAAGUCGAGCGGCAAGGGCCUUCGGGCCCCUAGAGCGGCGGACGGGUGAGUAACACGUGGACAAUCUGCCCCCCGGCCCGGGAUAGCCCAGGGAAACCUGGAUUAAUACCGGAUGAGACGGGACCCGCGAUGGCGGGACCCGGGAAAGGCGCUGCGGCGCCGCCGGGGGAUGAGUCUGCGUCCCAUUAGCUAGACGGCGGGGUAACGGCCCACCGUGGCGACGAUGGGUAGCCGGCCUGAGAGGGUGGACGGCCACAUUGGAACUGAGACACGGUCCAGACUCCUACGGGAGGCAGCAGCUAAGAAUCUUCCGCAAUGGGCGAAAGCCUGACGGAGCGACGCCCGCGUGAACGAAGAAGGCCGUGAGGUUGUAAAGUUCUUUUCGGGAGGGGGAACAACCGUGGCAGGGAAUGGCCGCGGGAUGACGUGAAUCCCGGAAUAAGCCCCGGCUAACUACGUGCCAGCCGCAGC
rnacentral:rRNA from 1 species